AUACGGAGGAUCCGAGCGUUAUCCGGAUUUAUUGGGUUUAAAGGGUGCGCAGGCGGCCAUUUAAGUCAGCGGUUAAAUCGUGGGGCUCAACCCCAUUCUGCCGUUGAUACUGGGUGGCUUGAUUGCGGUCGAGGUUGGAGGAAUUCGUUGUGUAGCGGGGAAAUGCAUAGAUAUGACGAAGAACACCGAUUGCGUAGGCAGCUGACCAGACCGCAAAUGACGCUCAUGCACGAAAGUGCGGGGAUCGAACAGGAUUAGAUACCCUGGUAGUCCGCACAGUAAACGAUGAAUACUUGUUUUCGGCGAUAUAAUGUCGGAGGCAAAGCGAAAGCGAUAAGUAUUCCACCUGGGGAGUACGCCGGCAACGGUGAAACUCAAAGGAAUUGACGGGG
rnacentral:rRNA from 1 species